ACACGUAGGGGCCUGACGUUGUUCGGAAUCAUUGGGCGUAAAGGGCGCGCAGGCGGCCGUCCAAGUCCGGUGUUAAAUGGUCGGGCUCAACCCGAUCAUGCGCUGGAAACUGGGCGGCUGGAGUCCCGGAGGGGAUGCCGGAAUUCCAGGUGUAGGGGGGAAAUCUGUAGAUAUCUGGAAGAACACCGAUGGCGAAGGCAGGCAUCUGGCCGGAGACUGACGCUGAGGCGCGAAGGCGCGGGGAGCGAACAGGUUUAGAUACCCUGGUAGUCCGCGCAGUAAACGAUGCGCACCAGGUGUCGGGCGGCAGCGCCCGGUACCGGAGCAAACGCGAUGAGUGCGCCGCCUGGGGAGUAUGCCCGCAAGGGUGAAACUCAAAUGAAUUGACGGGG
rnacentral:rRNA from 1 species